ACCUCAGCACACCCAGGGUUGCGUAUGACUGUUCCUGCGCCUCUUUCUUCUCUACCCAAUAAAUAUUGCGAUGCAAGUGAAUGAAUAUUUACCAAUGGCCUAUUAUGAACCGUACCCUAAAAGCUUCACAAAGGAAAGUGAAUGGGCAGAGAGGAAUUUGAUGUUUCUAAAAGACAUGUGUGACCUGAUGUGGAAUUAAUAUACCAAUAUGUGAAAUUUCCAGGAAGUAAGAGAAUGUAAGUGGGCAGCGAGGAGUAAAGGCUUGAAGGAGUUAUUGUGAUGAUCACCCCUGGAAUUAAGGCACCAUGGAGGAGCUAACUGGAAUGAGACUGCAGAGCUACAAUGGGCACAAUACAGUAUACAUUGUAAUGAAGGAGGAAGCACACCUUUAUUUUUGGUAAGAAAAGAGCAUGACUCUUACUUGCUGUAAACAGGAGAACUUGAACUUACAGAAGGUGAAGAGGAAAGGAACCAACAUUUUUUGGCCUUACUGUCUUUAAGCCACUUGACAUAGGUCACCUCAUUAAGCAUAACAGCUCUAGGAUAUUAUACCCAUUUUGCAUAAGAAAAAAACCAAAGCUCAGAAAUUUUAAGUAAUUGGCCAAGAUCACACAGCUAGUAAGUGGCAGUGCUGGAAUUCCAACUCAGGUGCACCUGCUUUAAAAGUAAGCAAGGGUGUAGCAGUCAAGAUCAGACCAGGAGACCAAAACCACACCGAUUCAUUUUACUGAAUUGAAUAUUAAAAAUUGCAUUAAAGGUGUUAAUGAACUGAAAAUGCAAAAAGUGAACAUUAAGAUAAUCACAGAGGUGGCAGCUUCGGUAAGCAGUGACAAGGCAUUGGGUUGGGGGAACAAAUGUCUGCGAGGAGGUUGAAAUUGUCAAACCUAGGAGCUCGGAGGAAAGGCCCCCUGGGGCUGGAACCCAGAACUCUGGGGAAGAUGCACUCCUUGCUGGUGCUGGUGUCUACGAGAGCGUGAGUCGAGGCUGUUUUGUAAUUGCUGGAAAAACUGCAAACUGGAAUCAAAUCCUGCUACAGGAGCAAGUUGCUGCUGCCAGGGUGAAGAAACGCUCCUGGGGUGAUGCCCAUAGCAACAUGACGCCGACAGGACAGGCAACUCCCUUCCACCCUCCGGCUUCCCUUAGUGCCCCCUGUUGGCGGAGUCUAACAAAGCAGCUGGCAAGGUGGUUCUCAGAAUUCCUGCCCCAUCACAAAGCCCAGCACAGAAGGGUGGGUCUGAAGCGGGAUAUGUAGCCUGAUGAUUGGAACAAAGAACAGAGGCUAAGGAAAACAGUUUCAUUAUCUCCCCCAUAACAGUUCAGAAGAGUUUUAUGCUUAACAGAAGGAAAGACAGAUUUUAAUACUGGCUUUGGAGGAAGGGACAUAAACAAGUUACGUUUCACUGAUUUCUGCGAAUUCGUGCAAAAUUAAAACUACAGAAUACAUUGGAAAGAAAUAUAGCUUUAGAAUCUCCAAGCACAUACAGAACUGCUUUACUUAGGCGUUACAUAAAUACAAACGCAUAUUAAUUACCCUGUUCAGUGAGGUAGAAAAAAGACAAUUAAUUGUUUAGCUGCUGAAGAUUCUUUAUUAUUAGGACAGAAGGACAAUUAGCUUUAAAAGCAUUGCUCAGAACAUGUAUUUUUUUUCCCCAAAUGUUGCUUUUUUUUUUUUUUUGAAACAGAACAAACCAAGCCCUUUCCCUCAAGAACUGCAUUGUGAAGAAAGCAAAUGCUAAGUAGGAAUUAGAAAAAAGAAAACAUGCCCAAAGCCCAUGGGAAUGACAAUUCCUGGUUAACUGUAAAAAAUAGGGAAUGUAAUUGAGACAGAUGACCAGAUUUAGGAAAAAUAAACCUCACCAUUAAAAUCUAAUUAA